rnacentral:misc_RNA from 1 species
UCUCGAAGUCAUUCUUUGUGGAGUAUUCGAAGUGAGUGGUCGGUAGACGGCUGUUCGUGCCGUAGCCAAGUGGGUGCAUCGCAUACGAGAAAGCGGAUUUCCACCGAACAUCCGAGAUCGGCCGCGUGUGCUUGUGCGACCGUUGCACACUUGCCUGCAGUUUUCCGCAGCGACGGCGAAGGGAACUCAUCAGGUUGCAAAAAGUGACUCGUCUCGGUCGCAUGUGGAGGAAAUGUUUUGUGAAUCCGUUCCAAGACCGCACAAGUGCAUUAUCCGCGGAUGAGGUUCUGCAGUUUUCUGGUAAUUACAUAAGAUUCCGAGGAGAAUUAGUGGAAAAGCUGCCCGGGCUGAUAAGAUGUGAAAUGCAGUGAAUUUUUUGGGUUUUUAUUCGGGAAAAUAUAAAAAGUGACGCAUCGCGAGUUGCCCGUUUCAGAUUUGUGCUUUGUGAAGAUGCGGCCGCAGUAGAAAUCAGAGAAAGGAAAUAGUUGCGAGUGCCAGAAGUGCCUUUUCCCUUGCGGAUGUUAUGCUGGAGCGACGCUCUGGCUUCUACUCUAAACCGUCGUUUCUAGCCAUCGAAGUGGCGAGCGGAAAUAGUUCGCUCUAAGUCUAGGUGUGUGGAUGCAAUGCGAAAAAGUAUGACAUGGGCUCGUGUACCAGGCGACACUUCCUGUUGUCAACAUGCUUCCUGCAAUUGAUUACAAUUGUCGAAAGACAAGUUUUCGAUUUUCUGGGUUACAUGUGGGCACCGAUCAUAGCAAAUUUUUUUCAUAUAAUUUUCGUAAUAUUUGGAUUUUACGGAGCAUAUCAUUUUCGAGCUAAAUAUAUAGUAGCUUAUUUAAUAUGGAAUUUUAUUUGGAUUGGAUGGAAUGUGUUCCUAAUUUGCUUCUAUUUAGAUGUCGGCGUUCUAGACAAAGACAGCGAUAUAUUAAACUUGGGUACAGGUAGCGUAUCAUGGUUCGAAGUGAAUGGAUAUGGUUGCAUACCAACUUAUCCUACAAACAUAACAAAUGAAGAUCUCUCCCGUCCAGUUCGUCCAGAGCAAGUUGAUAGUUGCUUGAUUGAUUAUCCAAUAGUUGAAGUUAUACAUUCAGGAAUACAAUGUAUUUUAGCGGUUCUUGCCAUUUUGGGCGCUAUUCUAAUAGCAGUAAUAUUUUUAGAUGAAGACGAUCGGUUCGAUUUCAUGGGUGGUGAUGCGAAAAGUCCACAACAUACCUGUGUACACCCGAUACUCUGUUCGUAAAUACGUAAGACUGCAAAGGAUGUUUAUCGUAAAAGAACAAAUUUAACUCAAAUUCAGUGUGAGGAAAGCUCAUAAGAAAAGUAAACACCGUCAAUCGUUUUAUUCGAUUGAAUUCGGGCCAGCGGCUGAUACGAUACGCGGACGUCCCGAUAAUAUAUUAGACUAUCAAGAUGGGAAUGAGCAUGGCGAUGCCCAG